AGCCUUCAGAGGCCAUUUUGUCCAAUCCAUAAGUUUAGUUCAAGCUCUUUCAGAUAUUUUCUCCUGGAUUUAAUUUCUUCUCUAUUGGACCAAGUUCUAUAUUGGCAAAUUCUUUUUAAUAUUAGAACCCAUUUAACAUUCGAAUAUUCAAGUGCUCCCAUUGGAUAUUUGUGUUAUAUCUAUUGCAUAAAUAAAGCAGUGAAGAAGAAUCUGUUCAUCUAUCUCUGUCCCUUAAUUAUUGCUUGUGGACUUAUUUCACCAGCCUACAGAACUACUUACCUGUGUGGGAACUCCCUCCAUCAAGGGACAGCAGAACCUGUUUAUGAUGUAGUAGGGGCUGCUGAAGAAAUGGUGUGCUAGCUUAAAAAAACAAAACUGAUGAUCUUUAUACUGGAUAGACAUUUAUUAUCAUGUGUGAGGCCAUAUUAAAUGAUACUCUGGCAGCCUGAGAAAGAGUUAAUGAGCUCUGUUCAUAACCAAAUAUUAGAUUACUCAGCUGUAGAAGAACAUGGGAAUUGAAUGAAUAAUAAUAAUUCCUGAAGGAUUGUUAUUGUUAUGUUGAUAAUAACAACUAGAUGUCUUGCACAUCUAAAAGGGGGCAGGCAUGUCUUAGACCUCAACUCAAGAGAGACUUGGAGUAAAAUGUGGGUUUUGAUACUUGUUUCCUGAAUGUCCCUUGGAGAAGUCACAUUGACCUCAGUUUCUUCAGUUGUACAAUAGAAAUUAUAACAUUAAGGCUUAUACUACCUACCUCACAGAGUUGCUAUGACAGAUACACUUCAUAAAUCUUAACGCUCCUUUGUUGUCAUUGUUGUUGUAUAAUUGUUUAAGUUAUGUUUGACUCUUUUUUAUAACCUCUGAGGUUUUCUUGGCAAAGAGACUGGAGUGAUUUUCCAUUUCCUUCUCCAACUCAUUUUACAUCUGAGGAAACUGAGGUAAAUGGGGUUAGGUGACUUGCUCAGGGUCAUUCAGCUAAUACAUGUCUGAGGCCAGAUUUGAACUCAGAAAGAGGUGUCUUCCUUACUAUGGGUCCAGCACUCUAUCCACUGUGCUAUGUUUGCUAGUAGUUUCAUCUUUAUAUACAAAGAUAUUUCUUAGAAAAUAAUAAUAGGUAACAUUUAGAUAGCAUUUACUAUGUGCCAGGCACUGGACUAAACACUGUA
rnacentral:lncRNA from 1 species